rnacentral:rRNA from 1 species
CCUACGGGAGGCAGCAGUGGGGGAUAUUGGACAAUGGGGGGAACCCUGAUCCAGCGACGCCGCGUGAGUGAAGAAGUAUUUCGGUAUGUAAAGCUCUGUCAGCAGGGAAGAAAGAAAUGACGGUACCUGACCAAGAAGCCACGGCUAACUACGUGCCAGCAGCCGCGGUAAUACGGAGGGGGCAAGCGUUAUCCGGACUGACUGGGUGUAAAGGGAGCGUAGACGGUUAAGUAAGUCUGGAGUGAAAGGCCGGGGCCCAACCCCGGGACUGCUCUGGAAACUAGUGAACUUGAGUGCAGGAGAGGUAAGCGGAAUUCCUAGUGUAGCGGUGAAAUGCGUAGAUAUUAGGAGGAACACCAGUGGCGAAGGCGGCUUACUGGACUGUAACUGACGUUGAGGCUCGAAAGCGUGGGGAGCAAACAGGAUUAGAUACCCUUGUAGUC